UACAGAGGUCCCAAGCGUUGUUCGGAUUUACUGGGCGUAAAGGGUGCGUAGGUGGUCGGGUAAGUCUCAUGUGAAAUCCCGCAGCUUAACUGCGGAACGGCAUGGGAUACUAUUCGGCUCGAGGAUUGGAGGGGGGACUGGAAUUCCCGGUGUAGCAGUGAAAUGCGUAGAUAUCGGGAGGAACACCAGUGGCGAAGGCGGGUCUCUGGACAGUUCCUGACGCUGAGGCACGAAGGUCAGGGGAGCAAACGGG
rnacentral:rRNA from 1 species